rnacentral:rRNA from 1 species
UACGUAGGGUGCAAGCGUUAAUCGGAAUUACUGGGCGUAAAGCGUGCGCAGGCGGCUUUGCAAGACAGAUGUGAAAUCCCCGGGCUUAACCUGGGAACUGCAUUUGUGACUGCAAGGCUAGAGUACGGUAGAGGGGGAUGGAAUUCCGCGUGUAGCAGUGAAAUGCGUAGAUAUGCGGAGGAACACCGAUGGCGAAGGCAAUCCCCUGGACCUGUACUGACGCUCAUGCACGAAAGCGUGGGGAGCAAACGAGG